AUUGAACGCUGGCGGCAUGCUUUACACAUGCAGGUCGAACGGCAGCGCGGGCUUCGGCCUGGCGGCGAGUGGCGAACGGGUGAGUAAUACAUCGGAACGUGCCCAGUAGUGGGGGAUAGCUCGGCGAAAGCCGGAUUAAUACCGCAUACGACCUGAGGGUGAAAGCGGGGGAUCUUCGGACCUCGCGCUAUUGGAGCGGCCGAUGGCAGAUUAGCUAGUUGGUGGGGUAAAGGCCUACCAAGGCGACGAUCUGUAGCUGGUCUGAGAGGACGACCAGCCACACUGGGACUGAGACACGGCCCAGACUCCUACGGGAGGCAGCAGUGGGGAAUUUUGGACAAUGGGCGAAAGCCUGAUCCAGCAAUGCCGCGUGUGUGAUGAAGGCCUUCGGGUUGUAAAGCACUUUUGGCGGGAACGAAAAGGACUGUGCCAAUACCACGGUUCGAUGACGGUACCCGCAAAAUAAGCACCGGCUAACUACGUG
rnacentral:rRNA from 1 species